UUGACUGGGGUGGUACACCUGUCAAAUGGUAACACAGGUAUCCUAAGGUAAGCUCAGGGAGAACAGAGACCUCCUGUAGAGCAGAAGGCCAAAAGCUCUCUUGAUCUUGAUUUUCAGUUGUUGACAUUACUUUGUCAGCAAAGGUCCAUCUAGUCAAGGCUAUGGUUUUUCUAGUG
rnacentral:ncRNA from 1 species